rnacentral:rRNA from 1 species
UACGGAAGGCAGCAGGGGGAAUAUUGCACAAUGGGCGCAAGCCUGAUGCAGCCAUGCCGCGUGUAUGAAGAAGGCCUUCGGGUUGUAAAGUACUUUCAGCGGGGAGGAAGGCGAUGCGGUUAAUAACCGCGUCGAUUGACGUUACCCGCAGAAGAAGCACCGGCUAACUCCGUGCCAGCAGCCGCGGUAAUACGGAGGGUGCAAGCGUUAAUCGGAAUUACUGGGCGUAAAGCGCACGCAGGCGGUCUGUUAAGUCAGAUGUGAAAUCCCCGGGCUUAACCUGGGAACUGCAUUUUGAAACUGGCAGGCUUGAGUCUUGUAGAGGGGGUUAGAAUUCCAGGUGUAGCGGUGAAAUGCGUAGAGAUCUGGAGGAAUACCGGUGGCGAAGGCGGCCCCUGGGACAAAGACUGACGCUCAGGUGCGAAAGCGUGGGGAGCAAACGAGGAUUAGAUACC